CUACGGGAGGCAGCAGUGGGGAAUAUUGCACAAUGGGGGAAACCCUGAUGCAGCGACGCCGCGUGGAGGAAGAAGGUCUUCGGAUUGUAAACUCCUGUUGUUGAGGAAUGAUAAUGACGGUACUCAACAAGGAAGUGACGGCUAACUACGUGCCAGCAGC
rnacentral:rRNA from 1 species